CCGCGUGUGUGAAGAAGGUCUUAGGAUUGUAAAGCGCUUUCGGCGGGGACGAUGAUGACGGUACCCGCAGAAGAAGCCCCGGCUAACUUCGUGC
rnacentral:rRNA from 1 species